GAGGGUGGGGCUCAGUGAUGGAGCGUGUGCUUAGCAUGCACAAGGUCCUGGGUUCAAUCCCAGGACCUUCA
rnacentral:tRNA from 1 species